AAAUAAAGUCCCCCAUAGACAACAAAAAAAAAAAGGCCCCAUUUAUAAAUACACAUUGUUCUUAUCACAAAUACAGUGUCCAUAUUCAUUUUUUUUUUAAAUUAAGAAAGUAGCUUAUGCGGGGAAGAUUGACCUACUUAUUUAAACAGCAGAAUGGUGGAUCCUGUUGGCACCUUUUUAUUUAUUGCAUGAAACAGAAAAAAGUUAUGAUAAAAAUGACAGAAGAAAAAAAAAAC